AAGUUUUAUUAUUAAUUAAAACAUAACACACAUUCAGUGUGUGUGUGUUGGAGGUCGACCAGAACAAGAACAACAACCCUAGUUGUUCAAAAUUCUCAAAAUUAGAAGAGUUUAAGAAGCUAAAUCAGAUGCAUGAACUCAAAAUCUUAAUCAUCUAAGCUUGUUCAUCAAAGUGGUGUAAAGGAAGGAAGUUCAAGUCAAGCGAAGCAACAAGGGAAUCAAGAUCGAGGUACGCUACUUGUGCGAUUCGUGGUUUUAUUAUACUUUUAUUUUACUAUAUGGUGUGGUUAUUGUAUUGGACAUGAGGAGAACCAUGUGUAGGACUCAUUCAUAUUGGUCGGAAAUAUUAGAAUGUUAUGUAAAAGAAAGAAUGUGCGUAGCCCCUUUAUGAACGGGUCAAAAAGGAUUUGAAUGUAAGAAUGAGAAUGAUGGUAUGAUGUUCAUUUUGGAACAUAUUCAUGUGUAAGAAUGAUGGUACUAAUGUAACAAGUAAA